CUUUUUGCGUGGCUUGGAGUUAGUAAUUUCCCCUGAUGGUGGCAUCCUUGGAUCUUGCAUAUUUUUCACCAGCAGUAUCGAUUUGGACAUGUAAGGAGUGGGUGGGUAACCGGAGCUUCAAUUCGUUUCCCUUGUUUUUUCUCGAUUAUGCUUUUCCUUUCUGUAGAGUGGGAGGAGAAGAUGGCGGUAGGGACACGUUUGGGGCGGUGGUGUUAGGGUUAGAGAAUGAGAGGAGACAGACCGAGAGGCUAGAGAAGCGAAAACAGCUUGGAUUUGAUGGCUUCUAUAUGUAUAAAAA
rnacentral:misc_RNA from 1 species